UCUCAACUUAUCAGACAUAGAGUUUCUAU
rnacentral:piRNA from 1 species